UACGUAGGGUGCAAGCGUUGUCCGGAAUUAUUGGGCGUAAAGAACUCGUAGGCGGUUUGUCGCGUCUGCUGUGAAAACUCGGGGCUUAACUCCGGGCCUGCAGUGGGUACGGGCUGACUAGAGUGCGGUAGGGGAGACUGGAAUUCCUGGUGUAGCGGUGAAAUGCGCAGAUAUCAGGAGGAACACCGGUGGCGAAGGCGGGUCUCUGGGCCGUAACUGACGCUGAGGAGCGAAAGCGUGGGGAGCGAACAGG
rnacentral:rRNA from 1 species